UACGUAGGUGGCGAGCGUUGUCCGGAUUUACUGGGUGUAAAGAGCGCGCAGGCGGCUGGUCAAGUCCGAUGUGAAAGCUCCCGGCUUAACUGGGAAAUUGCAUCGGAAACUGAUCGGCUGGAAGGUGGGAGAGGGUAGCGGAAUUCCCGGUGUAGUGGUGAAAUGCGUAGAUAUCGGGAGGAACACCAGUGGCGAAGGCGACUACCUGGCCUGUUCUUGACGCUGAGGCGCGAAAGCUAGGGGAGCAAACGGG
rnacentral:rRNA from 1 species